rnacentral:rRNA from 1 species
UACGUAGGGUGCGAGCGUUGUCCGGAAUUAUUGGGCGUAAAGAGCUCGUAGGCGGUUUGUCGCGUCUGCUGUGAAAACGCGAGGCUCAACCUCGCGCCUGCAGUGGGUACGGGCAGACUAGAGUGCGGUAGGGGAGAUUGGAAUUCCUGGUGUAGCGGUGGAAUGCGCAGAUAUCGGAAGGAACAUCAGUGGCGAAAGCGGCUUCCUGGACCAGAACUGACGAUCAGGCACGAAAGCGUGGGGAGCAAACAGG